rnacentral:lncRNA from 10 species
AUUUAGAGGCAAAAUGGCGGAGUUUAACUGAUACGUGACCUUCUUCUGGGAACACUUGACCGAGUCCCGACCAGCAAGAAGACUUUCACCAGAUGUGACCUCCUGAUGUUGAACUUCUCAGUCUCCAUAACUAUGCCAAGAACAUGGACACCUUCUACCAGUGACAUAUUUUGGUGAGCCAGCCAGGAGGAAGAGAACAGGAAGGGAUUGUUUAGCUGAAAUGGAAGAUUUGAUAUCUGAACAAGGAGUUCUAAAUAAUUCUCUGCACCUUAAUCUGCCAAUACUCACUCUAAAACUACACAAAGGAGAUUCAAAAUAAAAAGAGGAUGAUAAACGGCAAAACCAUCUGAGAGCUCGAUGCUAUUUGGCCAAACCCAUUAUGGCACUUCUU